rnacentral:rRNA from 1 species
UACGGGGGGGGCAAGCGUUGUUCGGAAUUACUGGGCGUAAAGGGCUCGUAGGCGGCCAACUAAGUCAGACGUGAAAUCCCUCGGCUUAACCGGGGAACUGCGUCUGAUACUGGAUGUCUUGAGUUUGGGAGAGGGAUGCGGAAUUCCAGGUGUAGCGGUGAAAUGCGUAGAUAUCUGGAGGAACACCGGUGGCGAAGGCGGCAUCCUGGACCAACACUGACACUGAGGAGCGAAAGCCAGGGGAGCAAACGGG